UGUUGGUUCAAUGCAAUUUCAUUGAAAUGCCGGGAAAACAACGUUGAUUCAACCAGUGUGUGCCCAGUGGGACAGUCUCUUUCCAGCUCUCUCUCCCUCCCCUUUCUCUACUUUCAGCAGAAGUCUGGAGGGAGUUUCACAACAACUUUCAACAACUAUCAGUUUUAGCUCUGCAUUGGAGAUAUGUAAUUCCUUUGAAAAAAACACUCUUUACUCUUUGCAAAGAUACAGGUUGUAUGCAGGCCGGAAAAACAAUAGCAAACAACACUGUAGUAGCAUGUUAAAUAUUCACAACCUUGAUUCUCACAUAAUUGGAGAAAAUGGGUUGCUCUAGGCUUGAACAACACAAAUGACUGACUUUGCACGUACUAUUUACAUACAUUUACCUUGGGGGAGGUUCAGGCAAUUUCAUGGAUUAAUAGUAAGACUAAAACACAAAGAGACAAAUAUUUACACAGACAUGUUGUUCCCGUUAGUCAUUGUGCCCACAUAAUAUAUAUUUUCAAGGGCUGUCCACGUAUAUAUAGUGUAAAUUUGCCCCAAAGCCGGUUUAGUUUUGCUUUGUACUUCAUAUGUAAAGCUGUCCUUGGUCUUUCUCUAAAACCCUUACAAGCACCACAAAGGAAGCAGAUAUUGUUCUGAAUUAAAAAGCAACUUUGGACUGACCAAUGUAGACAUUUUCAAAUAUAUGCAACUUAAAAAUGUUAUAUCACAAAAUUUUGACAAUGAAAGCUUUUGGACAUGAGGGAAUUUGAGUCAGAAAAAUAUAUCAUAUGAUAGGUCAACUAUCAGAAUUGAGACUUAAAAAUAACUGUAAUUGGCACAAGAUGGAAGGAGUGUUGCAACAUAACAAACUAAAUUACAGUUAAAGAGAAAAUGUAUGCUUAAUCCGUUAUAAACUAAUGAAUAGAAUUUCAACCUGGUCUCAGAGCAUUUCAUAUUAUUAUGUACGCAAAUCCAAGACUCCAUUUGGUAUGAUACGUUACGUUUCAUAUGUUAUGUUUUAAUAUGUCCAUCACCCAUUUCGUAUGAAAUCUUACAAAUUACAAUUCGUAUUAGGUUACAAAUUUGCAAAAUGUACAAUAUGUCAUGAUUUGAAAAACGUACAAUAUGUUUCAUUACCAAAACGUAUGAUAUGUUACGAAUUCUAGCUUGGUGGCUAGGUGGACAAUAUUAUUUUCAUCACUUAUAUUGAGAAAGCUAUUACUUAAAUACUGGAGGUCAAUUGAUACUCCAACGUUAAGAGAAUGGAAGAAUCAAAUGCUUUAUUUAAAUAUUGAUCAAAUCUGUCUAAAAACAGAAACAACAUAACACAAUAUGAAGUCAUUGGUGUGGAUACGGUGGGAACAUGUGGGUCUGAGCUAGUGUUAUGCCAUUAAUGUUUGUUGAGACGUAUGUGUGUAGAUGUUAAGUUGCCUAUUGUUUUUGUCGAUGCAUGUUUUGUUUAUUGUCAAAAAAAGUUAAAUAAAAUAUGUAUAUUUAUGAAGGAAUGUAGGAGAUAUAUUUCAAUGAAAAAAAUGUAAGUGUUGGUUUUACAAUACAGUAUUUGGAAAGGUCAAUUCUCUGACAGAAUUUCUGAUUUUGUAUCUUUCAAAAAACGUGCAUGCCAACAUAAGAUGAAAAGACUCAAUUUACCAUAUCUUACCAUGGAUCUGAUCACCAGGGCCACAAAGUGCAUCAUUGACUGUGGUGUACAGUAUCAGACCAACAUCCCAAAAUCUAUAUAACCACACUCACAGCCAUAUAACGGAUCCAAUUAAAGUUUUUUAAUGAUCAUUUGUCUUGUAAAGAAUAUCAUACAAUAUGAUAGGACUGGAAUUUAUAAGAACAUCAAUAAAUACGGAUGAAUACUUGAGGACCAGAUUCACACAGUCUGUCUCAUCAUCAAGAUCAUCACACAACGUAUCUGUGCUUGUACUAUAGUCCUUGUAGUGCUGCUGCAUACUGGGGGAGGCGGUGUUGUGUCAGAACUGUAAUGUGUCGCUUUAGGCUCACCAAAGGAAGUGUUGAUCCUCUCAUUUUAAUGAUGUGGCAGCAGCGGCAUAAAAACAGUGUUGUGUCUCUCCCAUCUGUCUGGUGAACGGAGCGUUGGGUACUGAGACUGUAUGAAUAUGGUCCAGCGAGUCUAAGCAACAAACACACCCAGAGUUCAAAAUUAUUUUAAAAAUCCCACACAGUAUUUACAUCACAGAGAGGAGGAAAGGACGAGAGGAGAAGAGGAGUGAUUUGUGGUCUUGGCUGCUACGGGACUGGACCCCUCGUUUCCCAUUCUCUCAGUUUGUAGUUUCCUUCCUCAGAGCAAGUGCUGGUUUCUUGACAGUGACAAAAUGUUAACUCAGUUAAUUAACAGUAUGUAACGCUGUACUGUAUGUAACCACAUACAAAAAGGGGUAAAUAAGCUCUUCACUGCUAAUUCUUAGAAAUCAUUUCAACACUCCAGAGUAAACAAAUUCUGGUCUAGUAAGGGGACUGUACAUCAAUUAGGAUGCCAACAUAGUUAGUUCACAUAACUAAUGAAUACCCAGUGCUUGGCAGCUAUGGGUUACCAUUUCUCUGCUAUGGGAAUAUCAUGUAAAACAGAAGGAAUUGAUCUUAGGGUCAAAACAGUCACACAAACACACACAAUGUUGUUUAGGAGUAGAUUAAAAACACACAGGGAGGGACAGAGAAUAGUGUCUGGCAACUCAAAAACAAACCAGGAAAUGAACAAGUUCAAAAAGUCAGCUUGCAAAGACACUGAGGACAGGUAGGUUAGGUACCAGUCAGCAAUAUACAUUAGACCUAUCAAUUUAUGCUGCCAGUCUCACAGACACUCUAACAGUACCUCAGACAGACUAACCAUGAAAUGAAUGAGCUGUCUGUCUCCAGUGCUGUCACGACUUCUGCCGAAGUUGGUCCCUCUCCUUGUUCGGCUGGUGUUCGGCGGUCGAAGUCACCGACCUUCUAGCCAUCGCUGAUCCACUUUUCAUUUUCCAUUGGUUUUGUCUUGUCUUCCAUCACACUUGGUUACAAUUCCAUCAAUUACAUGUUGUGUAUUUAACCCUCUGUUCUCCCCCAUGUCCUUGUCCGUAAUUGUUUCUUGUAGUGCUUGUUGCACCGUAUGCUGGUAUUACCGGGUUUUGUUUGACCCAUUUAUUGUAUUGUUCUGUUGAAGGUGAUUUAUGUUGAUUAAUCGACACCGUUGUAAAUCAGUUGUCGCUCUCCUGCACCUGACUUCUCUGCCACCAGUACGCACCUCACUACAGAGUUAUGGACCAAAACUAUGGAGUCAGCAGGUGCAGGUACCCCGGGUAUUAGGGGUGGAGGAGCGCGUCCGGGAGCAUGCAGAAAUGCUCCACCAUCUUGGCACCGCCAUGGACCAUGUUGUCCAGACUAUGGACCGCUGGGAGAGACAGGGAGUUCUUCCAGUGCCUCCACCAGCACAACCGGGGUCUCCCCUGAGCGCCCCUCUUCCUCGUGGUCCCAGUGGGAUUCGUCUCUCCCUGCCCCAGGAAUAUGACGGGAAGGCUGCGAACUGCCAGUGGUUCCUUCUACAAUUGGACCUAUACCUGGCAACCGUCCACCCGGCUCUGCAGGGCCAUGAGAGGGUGUCCGCCCUCAUCUCGUGCCUCACGGGGAAAGCCCUGGAGUGGGCCAACGCCGUGUGGAGAGAGGGAGAUGGGGCGUUGGACCAGUUUGAGGAGUUCACCCGCCGAUUCCAGGCAGUCUUCGACCACCCGCCCGAGGGUAGAGCGGCGGGUGAGCACCUCUUCCAUCUGAGGCAGGAAACGAGGAGUUCGCCCUGGAGUUUAGGACCCUGGCUGCCGGCGCGGGAUGGAACGACAGGGCCCUGUUCGACCAUUACCGCUGCAGUCUGAGCGGGGACGUCCGUCGGGAGCUGGCCUGCAGAGAUACCACCCUCAUGUUUGACCAGCUGGUGGACCUGUCCAUCCGGCUGGACAACCUGCUGGCUACCCGCGGACGUUCAGAUCGGGGUCUGGUGGUUCCAUCCUCCCGCACCCCCUCUUCGAUACCCAUGGAGCUGGGAGGGGCGGUGCGCAGGGUGACCGGAGGGGGUUCCAGCUCGUGCACCAUCUGUGGCCACAGAGAUCACACCGCCGGUCGGUGCUGGGAUGGUUCCUCUGAGGAUUGAGGCAGCAGGCAGGGCGUUCUGGUAUCACCCCAGGUGAGCCAGCACCACUCUCCCCCAGAGCCCUCUGUUGCACAUAUGUUUGUGUAUGUCACUUUCCCUGAGUUUUCCCCGCAUUCCCAGCAUAAGGUGCUCGUCGAUUCAGGCGCGGCUGGGAAUUUUAUUGAUAGAGCGUUAGCCCAUAGUUUAGGGAUCCCCAUUGUUCCCGUGGCUGUGCCCUUCCCCGUUCACGCCUUAGAUAUUCGACCAUUAGGGUCUGGGUUGAUUAGGGAGGUCACCGCUCCUCUGGGCAUGGUGACGCAGGGGGUUCACAAGGAGAGAAUUAGUCUCUUCCUUAUUGACUCUCCUGCGUUUCCUGUGGUGCUGGGCCUAGCCUGGUUAGCUUGUCAUAACCCCUGUUUCUUGGCAAAAGAUUGCUCUCACGGGGUGGUCGCGAGAGUGCUCUGGGAGGUGUUAAGGGGCUUCUGUUGGUGCUACUACGGUGGAGAGUCCAGACCAGGUCUCCACCGUGCGGAUUCCCCCUGAAUAUGCCGAUUUGGCUCUCGCCUUUCUAAAUUGAAGGCGACUCAAUUACCACCCCAUCGACGGGGCAAUUGUGCGAUAAAUCUCCUGGUAGACGCUGCACUUCCCAGGAGUCACGUGUAUCCCCUCUCACAGGCGGAGACGGAGGCUAUGGAAACAUAUGUCUCUGAAUCCCUGCGUCAGGGGUACAUUUGGUCCUCCACUUCACCCGCCUCCUCGAGUUUAUUUUUUGUGAAGAAGAAGGAGGGAGGUCUGCGCCUGUGUAUUGAUUAUCGGGGUCUGAAUCAGAUCACUGUUAGCUAUAGUUCCCCGCUACCGCUCAUAGCCACAGCGAUUGAGUCAAUGCACGGGGCGUGCUUCUUCACCAAACUAGAUCUCAGGAGCACUUACAACCUGGUGCGUAUCCGGGAGGGAGACGAGUGGAAGACGGCUUUCAGUACCACCUCAGGGCACUAUGAGUACCUCAUCAUGCCUUACGGGUUGAUGAAUGCGCCAUCAGUCUUCCAAGCCUUUGUAGACAAGAUUUUCAGGGACCUGUAGUGGUGUAUAUUGAUGACAUUUUGAUAUACGCCGCUACACGCGCUGAGCAUGUCUCUGGUGUGCAGGCUGGUUGGUCGCCUGUUGGAGCAAGACCUAUACGCCAUGGCUGAGAAAUGCCUGUUCUUCCAGCAGUCCGUCUCCUUCCUAGGGUAUCACAUUUCCACCUCAGGGGUGGAGAUGGAGAGUGACCGCAUUGCAGCCGUGCGUAAUUGGCCGACUCCCACCACGUUAAAGGCAACUACUACCAGAGAUUUAUCCAGUGUUUUGGUCAGGUAGUGGCUCCCAUUACCUCACUGCUGAAGGGGGGCCCGGUACGCUUGCAGUGGUUAGCUGAGGCGGACAGGGCUUUUAGUCACGUGAGGGCUCUGUUUACCUCGGCUCCCGUGCUGGCCCGUCCGGAUCCCUCUUUGGCAUUCAUAGUGGAGAUGGACGUGUCCGAGGCUGGGAUAGGAGCUGUGCUCUCUCAGCGCUCGGGAAUGCCACCGAAGCUCCGCCCCUGUGCCUUCUUCUCGAAGAAGCUCAGCCCGGCGGAGCGAAACUAUGAUGUGGGGGACCGGGAGUUGUUGGCUGUCGUCAAGGCCUUGAAGACGUGGAGACAUUGGCUUGAGGGGGCUAGACACCCUUUUCUCAUCUGGACUGACCACCGCAAUCUGGAGUACAUCCGGGCGGCGAGGAGACUGAACCUUCGCCAGACAAGGUGGGCCAUGUUUUUCACCCGUUUUGUGUUUACCCUUUCCCACAGACCAGGCUCUCAGAACGCUAAGGCAGAUGCAUUGUCCCAGCUGUAUGACACAGAGGAACGGCCCAUGGAUCCCACUCCCAUACUCCCAGCCUCCUGCCUGGUGGCUCCGGUAGUGUGAGAGCUGGACACGGACAUUGAGCAGGCGUUACGUGCAGAGCCCGCUCCUGUCCAGUGUCCCGCUGGGCGUCUGUACAUCCCGUCUGCUGUUCGUUACCGGUUGAUCUAUUUAGCCCACACGUCACCCUCCUCUGGUCAUCCUGGGAUCGGUCGGACAAUGCUCUGCUUGAGCUGGAGGUACUGGUGGCCUACCUUGGCUAAGGACGUGAGGGUUUAUGUUUUCCUCCAACUCAGUGUGCACCCAGUGUAAGGCUCCUUGGCACCUGCCCAGAGGUAAGCUACACCGCUUACCCGUUCCACAGCGGCCUUGGUCGCACCUGUCGGUGGAUUUUCUGACUGAUCUUCCACCCUCACAGGGUAACACUGCAAUCCUGGUCAUUGUGGAUCGUUUCUAUAAGUCCUGUUGUCUCCUCCCUCUGCCCGGUCUCCCUACAGCCCUACAGACAGCGGAGGCCUUGUUAACACACGUCUUCCGGCACUACGGGGUGCCUGAGGAUAUAGUGUCUGAUCGGGGUCCCCAGUUCACGUCUAGGGUCUGGAAGGCGUUCAUGGAACAUCUGGGGUCUCGAUCAGCCUUACUUCAGGGUUUCACCCCAAGAGUGAUGGACAGGUGGAGAGAGGGAACCAGGAUGUGGGCAGGUUUCUGCGGUCCUAUUGCCAGGACCGGCCGGGGGAGUGGGCGGCGUUCCUUCCCUGGGCCGAGAUGGCACAGAACUCGCUUCGCCACUCUUCCACUAACCUUUCUCCCUUCCCGUGCGUACUGGGUUACCAGCCGGUUCUGGCGCCUUGGCAUCAGAGUCAGACUGAGGUUCCUGCGGUGGACGACUGGUUCAGGCGUGCGGAGGAGACAUGGGAAGCUGUCCGUGUUCACCUUCAGCAGGCCGUGAGGCUCCAAAAGGAGAACGCAGAUAGUCACCGCAGUGAGGCCCCGGUGUUCGCACUGGGGGACCGGGUCUGGCUCUUGAUCCGAAACCUGCCCCUCCGCCUGCCCUGCCGGAAGCUGGGUCCGCGGUUUGUGGGGCCAUUUAAAGUCCUGAGGAGAGUGGACAAGGUUUGUCAUAGGUUACAGCUUCCACCCGAUUACUGUAUUAACCCCUCGUUCCAUGUGUCUUUCCUCAGGCCGGUGAACAUUGGGUGGGCCCCGGUGUACUCCGUUCGCUCCAUACUGGAUUCGAGGCGCCGGGCGAGAGGCCUUCAGUAUCUCGUGGAGUGGGAGGGGUACGGUCCGGAGGAGAGGUGCUGGGUUCCGGGCGAGGACGUGUUAGACCCUUCAAUGCUGCAGGAGUUCCACCGUCUUCGUCCGGA
ensembl:lncRNA